rnacentral:rRNA from 1 species
GAUGAACGCUGGCGGCGUGCUUAACACAUGCAAGUCGAACGAAGCAUUUAAGACAGAUUACUUCGGUUUGAAGUCUUUUAUGACUGAGUGGCGGACGGGUGAGUAACGCGUGGGUAACCUGCCUCAUACAGGGGGAUAGCAGCUGGAAACGGCUGGUAAUACCGCAUAAGCGCACAGUACCACAUGGUACAGUGUGAAAAACUCCGGUGGUAUGGGAUGGACCCGCGUCUGAUUAGCUUGUUGGCGGGGUAACGGCCCACCAAGGCGACGAUCAGUAGCCGACCUGAGAGGGUGACCGGCCACAUUGGGACUGAGACACGGCCCAGACUCCUACGGGAGGCAGCAGUGGGGAAUAUUGCACAAUGGAGGAAACUCUGAUGCAGCGACGCCGCGUGAGUGAAGAAGUAGUUCGCUAUGUAAAGCUCUAUCAGCAGGGAAGAUAGUGACGGUACCUGACUAAGAAGCACCGGCUAAAUACGUG